rnacentral:rRNA from 1 species
GAUGAACGCUGACAGAAUGCUUAACACAUGCAAGUCUUUGGCGAAUCUGUGCUUGCACAGGCUAGCCAAGGCGGACGGGUGAGUAACGCGUAAAGAACUUGCCCUGCAGACAGGGAUAACAGACGGAAACGACUGAUAACACCUGAUACAGUUGCCGGCACGCAUGUGCCUGGCAAUGAAAAGAGAUGCUGCAGGAGAGCUUUGCGUCCUAUUAGCUUGUUGGUGAGGUGACGGCUCACCAAGGCGAUGAUAGGUAGCCGGCCUGAGAGGGUGAACGGCCACAAGGGGACUGAGAUACGGCCCUUACUCCUACGGGAGGCAGCAGUGGGGAAUAUUGGACAAUGGGGGCGACACUGAUCCAGCAAUUCUGUGUGCACGAAGAAGGUUUUCGGAUUGUAAAGUGCUUUCAGCAGGGAAGAAGAAAGUGACGGUACCUGCGGAAGAAGCGACGGCUAAAUACGUG